rnacentral:rRNA from 1 species
GGAAAAGAAACCAACCGGGAUUGCCUUAGUAACGGCGAGUGAAGCGGCAAAAGCUCAAAUUUGAAAUCUGGUACCUUUCGGUGCCCGAGUUGUAAUUUGGAGAAAGUGAUUCUGGGACUGGCCCUUGCCUAUGUUCCUUGGAACAGGACGUCAUAGAGGGUGAGAACCCCGUGAGGCGAGGUGAUCCAGUUCUUUGUAGAACGCUUUCGAAGAGUCGAGUUGUUUGGGAAUGCAGCUCUAAGUGGGUGGUAAAUUCCAUCUAAAGCUAAAUACAGGCGAGAGACCGAUAGCGAACAAGUACAGUGAUGGAAAGAUGAAAAGAACUUUGAAAAGAGAGUGAAAAAGGACGUGAAAUUGUUGAAAGGGAAGGGCAUUUGAUCAGACAUGGUGUUUUGUGCCCCUCGCUCCUCGUGGGUGGGGGAAUCUCGCAGCUCACUGGGCCAGCAUCAGUUUUGGCGGCAGGAUAAAUUUCUGGGAAUGUG